GAUGAACGCUGGCGGCGUGCCUAAUACAUGCAAGUCGAGCGAACAGACGAGGAGCUUGCUCCUCUGACGUUAGCGGCGGACGGGUGAGUAACACGUGUAUAACCUACCUAUAAGACUGGGAUAACUUCGGGAAACCGGAGCUAAUACCGGAUAAUAUAUUGCACCGCAGGGUUCAAUAGUGAAAUACGGUUUUUCUGUCACUUAUAGAUGGAUCCGCGCCGCAUUAGCUAGUUGGUAAGGUAACGGCUUAUCAAGGCAACGAUGCGUAGCCGACCUGAGAGAGUGAUCGGCCACCCUGGAACUGAGACACGGUCCAGACUCCUACGGGAGGCAGCAGUAGGGAAUCUUACGCAAUGGGCGAAAGCCUGACGGAGCAACGCCGCGUGAGUGAUGAAGGUCUUCGGAUCGUAAAACUCUGUUAUUAGGGAAGAACAAAUGUGUAAGUAACUAUGCACGUCUUGACGGUACCUAAUCAGAAAGCCACGGCUAACUACGUG
rnacentral:rRNA from 1 species